CAGUAGUCACGUAGUUGAUCAUGGCUCAGAACGAACGCUGGCGGCAUGCCUAACACAUGCAAGUCGAACGAGACCUUCGGGUCUAGUGGCGCACGGGUGCGUAACGCGUGGGAAUCUGCCCUUGGGUUCGGAAUAACUUCGGGAAACUGAAGCUAAUACCGGAUGAUGACGUAAGUCCAAAGAUUUAUCGCCCAAGGAUGAGCCCGCGUAGGAUUAGCUAGUUGGUGAGGUAAAGGCUCACCAAGGCGACGAUCCUUAGCUGGUCUGAGAGGAUGAUCAGCCACACUGGGACUGAGACACGGCCCAGACUCCUACGGGAGGCAGCAGUGGGAAUAUUGGACAAUGGGCGAAAGCCUGAUCCAGCAAUGCCGCGUGAGUGAUGAAGGCCUUAGGGUUGUAAAGCUCUUUACCCGGGAUGAUAAUGACAGUACCGGGAGAAUAAGCUCCGGCUAACUCCGUG
rnacentral:rRNA from 1 species